AGAGUUUGAUCAUGGCUCAGGAUGAAUGCUGGCGGCGUGCCUAAUACAUGCAAGUCGAGCGGUAAGGCCCUUCGGGGUACACGAGCGGCGGACGGCUGAGUAACGCGUGGGAACAUGCCCCAAAGUGAGGGAUAACCUCGAGAAAUCGAGGCUAAUACCGCAUAUGGUCUUCGGAUUAAAGGAUUUAUCCGCUUUGGGAGUGGCCCGCGUACGAUUAGUUUGUUGGUGAGGUAAUGGCUUACCAAGACUACGAUCGUUAACUGGUCUGAGAGGAUGAUCAGUCAGACUGGAACUGAGACACGGUCCACACUCCUACGGGAGGCAGCAGUAAGGAAUCUUCCACAAUGGGCGAAAGCCUGAUGGAGCAACGCCGCGUGCAGGAUGAAGGCCUUCGGGUCGUAAACUGCUUUUAUGAGUGAAGAAUAUGACGGUAACUCAUGAAUAAGCACCGGCUAACUACGUGCCAGCAGCCGCGGUCAUACGUAGGGUGCAAGCAUUAUCCGGAGUGACUGGGCGUAAAGAGUUGCGUAGGUGGUUAGUAAAGUGAAUAGUGAAACCUGGUGGCUCAACCAUACAGACUAUUAUUCAAACUCACUAACUCGAGAGUGGUAGAGGUAACUGGUAUUUUCUAGUGUAGGAGUGAAAUCCGUAUAUAUUAGAAGGAACACCAGUGGCGUAGGCAUGGUUACUGCACCAUUUCUGACACUAACGCACGAAGCGUGGAGAGCGAACCAGAUUAGAUACCCCGGGUAGUCCACGCCAGUAACGAUGAUACUAGCUUGUUGGAGUAUCCGACCUCCUCAGUAGCGAGCUACGCGUAAGUAUCCCGGCUGUGGAGUACGUCGCAGACUAACAUAGUAUUGGACGGAUCGACAAGCGGGGGAUAUGUCUGAUCGAGUAACGAGCACUACCAGGUCGCGACAUCCAG
rnacentral:rRNA from 1 species